CCUACGGGUGGCAGCAGUGAGGAAUAUUGGUCAAUGGACGCAAGUCUGAACCAGCCAUGCCGCGUGCAGGAAGACGGCUCUAUGAGUUGUAAACUGCUUUUGUACGAGGGUAAACGCAGAUACGCGUAUCUGUCUGAAAGUAUCGUACGAAUAAGGAUCGGCUAACUCCGUGCCAGCAGCCGCGGUAAUACGGAGGAUUCAAGCGUUAUCCGGAUUUAUUGGGUUUAAAGGGUGCGUAGGCGGUCGGAUAAGUUAGAGGUGAAAUCCCGAGGCGUAACUUCGGAAUUGCCUCUGUUACUGUUCGGCGAGAGAGUAGUUGCGGUAGGCGGAAUGUAUGGUGUAGCGGUGAAAUGCUUAGAGAUCAUACAGAACACCGAUUGCGAAGGCAGCUUACCAAGCUACUUCUGAUGUUGAGGCACGAAAGCGUGGGGAGCAAACAGGAUUAGAUACCCGGGUAGUC
rnacentral:rRNA from 1 species